rnacentral:tRNA from 1 species
UAGGCAGUAGUGUAAGGCACGUUAGAAUUUGAGUCUGAAAGAUUUAUGCCUAU